rnacentral:rRNA from 1 species
CCUACGGGAGGCAUCAGUGAGGAAUAUUGGUCAAUGGGCGCGAGCCUGAACCAGCCCAAUCGCGUGAGGGAUGAAGGUUCUCUGGAUCGUAAACCUCUUUUAUAAGGGAAUAAAGUGUGGGACGUGUCCUAUUUUGUAUGUACCUUAUGACUAAGGAGCGGCUAACUCCGUGCCAGCAGCCGCGGUAAUACGGAGGAUCCGAGCGUUAUCCGGAUUUAUUGGGUUUAAAGGAUGCGUAGGCGGCCCUUUAAGUCAGCGGUGAAAGUCUGUGGCUCAACCAUAGAACUGCCGUUGAAACUGGGGGGCUUGAGUGUGUUUGAGGCAGGCGGAAUGCGUGGUGUAGCGGUGAAAUGCUUAGAUAUCACGCAGAACCCCGAUUGCGAAGGCAGCCUGCCAAGCCAUGACUGACGCUGAUGCACGAAAGCGUGGGGAUCAAACAGGAUUAGAUACCCUAGUAGUC